GAUGAACGCUGGCGGCGCGCCUAACACAUGCAAGUCGAACGAUUAAAGCACCUUCGGGUGUGUAUAAAGUGGCGAACGGCUGAGUAACACGUGGGCAACCUGCCCCUCUCAUUGGGAUAGCCACGGGAAACCGUGGAUAAUACCGAAUACUUCGGGACUUCCGCAUGGAAGACUCGAGAAAGCUCCGGCGGAGAGGGAUGGGCCCGCGGCCUGUUAGCUUGUUGGUGGGGUAAUGGCCUACCAAGGCAAUGAUGGGUAGCUGGGUUGAGAGACCGACCAGCCAGAUUGGGACUGAGACACGGCCCAGACUCCUACGGGAGGCAGCAGUGGGGAAUCUUGCACAAUGGGCGAAAGCCUGAUGCAGCGACGCCGCGUGCGGGAUGAAGGCCUUCGGGUUGUAAACCGCUUACAGCAGGGACGAGGCGAAAGUGACGGUACCUGCAGAAGAAGCCCCGGCUAACUACGUG
rnacentral:rRNA from 1 species